rnacentral:rRNA from 1 species
GACGAACGCUGGCGGCGUGCCUAAUACAUGCAAGUAGAACGCUGAAGGAGGAGCUUGCUCUUCUGGAUGAGUUGCGAACGGGUGAGUAACGCGUAGGUAACCUGCCUGGUAGCGGGGGAUAACUAUUGGAAACGAUAGCUAAUACCGCAUAAUAGUAGAUGUUGCAUGAUAUUUGCUUGAAAGGUGCAAUUGCAUCACUACCAGAUGGACCUGCGUUGUAUUAGCUAGUUGGUGGGGUAACGGCUCACCAAGGCGACGAUACAUAGCCGACCUGAGAGGGUGAUCGGCCACACUGGGACUGAGACACGGCCCAGACUCCUACGGGAGGCAGCAGUAGGGAAUCUUCGGCAAUGGACGGAAGUCUGACCGAGCAACGCCGCGUGAGUGAAGAAGGUUUUCGGAUCGUAAAGCUCUGUUGUAAGAGAAGAACGAGUGUGAGAGUGGAAAGUUCACACUGUGACGGUAUCUUACCAGAAAGGGACGGCUAACUACGUG